CCUACGGGAGGCAGCAGUGGGGAAUAUUGGGCAAUGGGCGCAAGCCUGACCCAGCAACGCCGCGUGAAGGAAGAAGGCUUUCGGGUUGUAAACCUCUUUUUUGAGGGACGAAGAAAGUGACGGUACCUCAGGAAUAAGCCACGGCUAACUACGUGCCAGCAGCCUCGGUAAUACGUAGGCGGCAAGCGUUAGCCGGAUUUAGUGGGUGUAAAGGGCGUGUAGGCGGGAAAGCAAGUCAGAUGUGAAAUCUCAGGGCUCAACCCUGAGCCUGCAUUUGACACUGGGUUUCUUGAGUGCUGGGGAGGCAAGCGGAAUGCGGGGUGUAGCGGUGAAAUGCGUAGAUAUACGGAGGAACACCGGUGGCGAAGGCGGAUUGCUGGACAGUAACUGACGCUGAGGCGCGAAAGCGUGGGGAGCAAACAGGAUUAGAUACCCGAGUAGUC
rnacentral:rRNA from 1 species